rnacentral:rRNA from 1 species
AGCGAACGCUGGCGGCAGGCUUAACACAUGCAAGUCGAGCGGACCUUUCGGGGUCAGCGGCGGACGGGUGAGUAACGCGUGGGAACGUGCCUUCCGGAUCGGAAUAACCCUGGGAAACUAGGGCUAAUACCGGAUACGCCUUCAGGGGGACAGGUUUACUGCGGGAAGAUCGGCCCGCGUCUGAUUAGGUCGUUGGUGGGGUAACGGCCUACCAAGGCGACGAUCAGUAGCUGGUCUGAGAGGAUGGUCAGCCACACUUGGACGGCGACACGGCGCAGACUCCUACGCGAGGCGGCAGUGCGGGAUAUUGGAAAAUGGGGGGAAGGCUGAUCCAGUCAUGCCGGGUGAGUGAUGAAGGCCGUAGGGUUGUAAAGCUCUUUUAUACGGGACGGUAAUGGCGGUACCGGAAGAAUAAGCCCCGGCUAACUUCGUG